UUUGUAUCCAGUCGAAAUUUC
rnacentral:piRNA from 1 species